rnacentral:rRNA from 1 species
CCCGCGGCAAGACGGAAAGACCCCGUGAACCUUUACUAUAGCUUGACACUGAACAUUGAGCCUUGAUGUGUAGGAUAGGUGGGAGGCUUUGAAGUGUGGACGCCAGUCUGCAUGGAGCCGACCUUGAAAUACCACCCUUUAAUGUUUGAUGUUCUAACGUUGGCCCGUAAUCCGGGUUGCGGACAGUGUCUGGUGGGUAGUUUGACUGGGGCGGUCUCCUCCUAAAGAGUAACGGAGGAGCACGAAGGUUGGCUAAUCCUGGUCGGACAUCAGGAGGUUAGUGCAAUGGCAUAAGCCAGCUUGACUGCGAGCGUGACGGCGCGAGCAGGUGCGAAAGCAGGUCAUAGUGAUCCGGUGGUUCUGAAUGGAAGGGCCAUCGCUCAACGGAUAAAAGGUACUCCGGGGAUAACAGGCUGAUACCGCCCAAGAGUUCAUAUCGACGGCGGUGUUUGGCACCUCGAUGUCGGCUCAUCACAUCCUGGGGCUGAAGUAGGUCCCAAGGGUAUGGCUGUUCGCCAUUUAAAGUGGUACGCGAGCUGGGUUUAGAACGUCGUGAGACAGUUCGGUCCCUAUCUGCCGUGGGCGCUGGAGAACUGAGGGGGGCUGCUCCUAGUACGAGAGGACCGGAGUGGACGCAUCACUGGUGUUCGGGUUGUCAUGCCAAUGGCACUGCCCGGUAGCUAAAUGCGGAAGAGAUAAGUGCUGAAAGCAUCUAAGCACGAAACUUGCCCCGAGAUGAGUUCUCCCUGAGACUUAGAGUCUCCUGAAGGAACGUUGAAGACGACGACGUUGAUAGGCCGGGUGUGUAAGCGCAGCGAUGCGUUGAGCUAACCGGUACUAAUGAACCGUGAGG